rnacentral:rRNA from 1 species
GACGAACGCUGGCGGCGUGCUUAACACAUGCAAGUCGAACGGAAAGGCCCUGCUUUUGUGGUGGGCUCGAGUGACGAACGGGUGAGUAACACGUGAGUAACCUGCCCUUGACGUUGGGAUAACGGCAGGAAACUGGGGCUAAUAGCGGAUAGGAGCUCCUGCUGCAUGGUGUGGGGUGGAAAGUUGCGGCGGUUGGUGAUGGGCUCGCGGCUGAUCAGCUUGUUGGUGGGGUAGUGGCUUGCCAAGGCGUCUACGGGUAGCCGGCCUGAGAGGGAGACCGGGCACAGUGGGGCGGAGAAACAGCCGGGACUCCGACGUGCGGCAGCAGUGGUGAAUGGAGCACAGUGGGGGGAAGCCUGAUGCAGCGAGGCCGCGUGGGCGAUGACGGGCGUCGGGUAGUAUACGCCUGUCAACCGCGAAGAAGCCACCUGGUUGGAAGGGUGGUGACGGUAGUGGUAGAAGAAGCCCCGGCUAACUACGUG